rnacentral:misc_RNA from 1 species
AAGUCGUAACAAGGUUUCCGUAGGUGAACCUGCGGAAGGAUCAUUAACACGUAUCCAAACGUUAAACCCCCCUGUGAACCUUCAGUCGUACUCGUACGUCCGUUAGAAAAAGCAGCAAUCCCUGGUAAAUCAUCGCCGAACAGUUUUCGAUUCAGGGACGUCUGCAAGGAGCGUGCAUGUUGUGCGUGUAAGUGGCCUGGCAUCCCCAAGCAGUUAGUGUCUGAAAGUGUCACUAACGUUAGUGUCUGAAAGUGUCACUAACAUGUGUAAGGAUGACGCAGUCACGAUCGUUGGAGGCCCACACGGCCGACGACCGGGUCACUGGGUGCAAGCCCCCUUAUCACACCCCUGCUCUAUCUAUGGUGCGCCGAAACCGAACAACUGUUAACAAUGGAUAUCUUGGUUCUC